rnacentral:rRNA from 1 species
GAGUGACACUGCGCCGAAAAUGUACCGGGGCUAAACAUAUUACCGAAGCUGUGGAUUGUCCUUUGGACAAUGGUAGGAGAGCGUUCUAAGGGCGUCGAAGCAUGAUCGCAAGGACAUGUGGAGCGCUUAGAAGUGAGAAUGCCGGUGUGAGUAGCGAAAGACGGGUGAGAAUCCCGUCCACCGAUUGACUAAGGUUUCCAGAGGAAGGCUCGUCCGCUCUGGGUUAGUCGGGUCCUAAGCUGAGGCCGACAGGCGUAGGCGAUGGAUAACAGGUUGAUAUUCCUGUACCACCUAGUAUCGUUUUAAUCGAUGGGGGGACGCAGUAGGAUAGGCGAAGCGUGCUGUUGGAGUGCACGUCCAAGCAGUAAGGCUGAGUGUUAGGCAAAUCCGGCACUCAUAAGGCUGAGCUGUGAUGGGGAGAGGAAAUUGUUUCCUCGAGUCGUUGAUUUCACACUGCCGAGAAAAGCCUCUAGAUAGAUAACAGGUGCCCGUACCGCAAACCGACACAGGUAGUCAAGAUGAGAAUUCUAAGGUGAGCGAGCGAACUCUCGUUAAGGAACUCGGCAAAAUGACCCCGUAACUUCGGGAGAAGGGGUGCUCUUUAGGGUUCACGCCCAGAAGAGCCGCAGUGAAUAGGCCCAAGCGACUGUUUAUCAAAAACACAGGUCUCUGCUAAACCGUAAGGUGAUGUAUAGGGGCUGACGCCUGCCCGGUGCUGGAAGGUUAAGAGGAGUGGUUAGCUUCUGCGAAGCUACGAAUCGAAGCCCCAGUAAACGGCGGCCGUAACUAUAACGGUCCUAAGGUAGCGAAAUUCCUUGUCGGGUAAGUUCCGACCCGCACGAAAGGCGUAACGAUUUGGGCACUGUCUCAACGAGAGACUCGGUGAAAUCAUAGUACCUGUGAAGAUGCAGGUUACCCGCGACAGGACGGAAAGACCCCGUGGAGCUUUACUGUAGCCUGAUAUUGAAAUUCGGCACAGCUUGU